rnacentral:rRNA from 1 species
AUUGAACGCUGGCGGCAGGCCUAACACAUGCAAGUCGAGCGGAUGAAGGGAGCUUGCUCCUGGAUUCAGCGGCGGACGGGUGAGUAAUGCCUAGGAAUCUGCCUGGUAGUGGGGGAUAACGUCCGGAAACGGGCGCUAAUACCGCAUACGUCCUGAGGGAGAAAGUGGGGGAUCUUCGGACCUCACGCUAUCAGAUGAGCCUAGGUCGGAUUAGCGAGUUGGUGGGGUAGAGGCCUACCAAGGCGACGAUCCGUAACUGGUCUGAGAGGAUGAUCAGUCACACUGGAACUGAGACACGGUCCAGACUCCUACGGGAGGCAGCAGUGGGGAAUAUUGGACAAUGGGCGAAAGCCUGAUCCAGCCAUGCCGCGUGUGUGAAGAAGGUCUUCGGAUUGUAAAGCACUUUAAGUUGGGAGGAAGGGCAGUAAGUUAAUACCUUGCUGUUUUGACGUUACCAACAGAAUAAGCACCGGCUAACUUCGUG